rnacentral:rRNA from 1 species
UACAGAGGUGCCAAGCGUUAGGCGGAAUCACUGGGCUUAAAGCGCGUGUAGGUGGACGGGUAAGUAUCUUGUGAAAUCCCACGGCUCAACCGUGGAACUGCUGGAUAUACUGCUUGUCUUGAGGCACUUAGGGGCAGCUGGAACAAAUGGUGGAGCGGUGAAAUGCGUAGAUAUCAUUUGGAACGCCAAAGGCGAAAGCAGGCUGCUGGGAGUGAUCUGACACUGAGACGCGAAAGCCAGGGGAGCAAACGGGAGUUAG